GAGUUUGAUCAUGGCUCAGGAUGAACGCUGGCGGCGUGCUUAACACAUGCAAGUCGAACGAUGAAGCUCCAGCUUGCUGGAGUGGAUUAGUGGCGAACGGGUGAGUAACACGUGAGCAACCUACCCCUGGCACCGGGAUAGCCCCGGGAAACUGGGAUUAAUACCGGAUACGACCACUUCCCGCAUGGGAUGGUGGUGGAAAGGUUCCCCCUUGUGGGGUUCCGGCCAGGGAUGGGCUCGCGGCCCAUCAGCUAGUUGGCGGGGUAACGGCCCACCAAGGCGAUGACGGGUAGCCGGCCUGAGAGGGCGGUCGGCCACACUGGGACUGAGACACGGCCCAGACUCCUACGGGAGGCAGCAGUGGGGAAUAUUGCACAAUGGGCGAAAGCCUGAUGCAGCGACGCCGCGUGAGGGAUGACGGCCUUCGGGUUGUAAACCUCUUUCAGUAGGGAAGAAGCGAAAGUGACGGUACCUGCAGAAGAAGCGCCGGCUAACUACGUGCCAGCAGCCGCGGUAC
rnacentral:rRNA from 1 species